rnacentral:rRNA from 1 species
GGUUCGAUUAUGGCUCAGAUUGAACGCUGGCGGGAUGCUUUACACAUGCAAGUCGAACGGCAGCACGGACUUCGGUCUGGUGGCGAGUGGCGAACGGGUGAGUAAAUGUAUCGGAACGUGCCUAGUAGCGGGGAUAACUACGCGAAAGCGUAGCUAAUACCGCAUGUACCGCCACCCUUCGGGGAAAGCGGGGACCUUCGGGCCCUGCACUAUUAGAGCGGCCGAUAUCGGAUUAGCUAGUUGGUGGGGUAACGGUCACCAAGGCGACGAUCCGUAGCUGGUUUGAGAGGACGACCAGCCACACUGGGACUGAGACACGGCCCAGACUCCUACGGGAGGCAGCAGUGGGGAAUUUUGGACAAUGGGGGAAACCCCGAUCCAGCCAUCCCGCGUGUGCGAUGAAGGCCUUCGGGUCGUAAAGCACUUUUGGCAGGAAAGAAACGGCACGGAUAAUACCCCGUGCAACUGACGGUACCUGCAGAAUAAGCACCGGCUAACUACGUGCCAGCAGCCGCGGUAAUACGUAGGGUGCAAGCGUUAAUCGGAAUUACAUUGGGCGUAAAGCGUGCGCAGGCGGUUCGGAAAGAAAGAUGUGAAAUCCCAGAGCUUAACUUUGGAACUGCAUUUUUAACUACCGAGCUAGAGAGGUCAGAGGGAGGUGGAAUUUCCGUAGCAGUGAAAUGCGUAGAUAUGCGGAGGAACACCGAUGGCGAAGGCAGCCUCCUGGGAUAACACUGACGCUCAUGCACGAAAGCGUGGGGAGCAAACAGGAUUAGAUACCCUGGUAGUCCACGCCCUAAACGAUGUCAACUAGCUGUUGGGGCCUUCGCCUUGGUAGCGCAGCUAACGCGUGAAGCUGACCGCCUGGGGAGUACGGUCGCAAGAUUAAACUCAAAGGAACUGACGGGGACCCGCACAAGCGGUGGAUGAUGUGGAUUAAUCGAUGCAACGCGAAAACCUUACCUACCCUUGACAUGUCUGGAAUCCCGAAGAGAUUUGGGAGUGCUCGCAAGAGAACCGGAACACAGGUGCUGCAUGGCUGUCGUCAGCUCGUGUCGUGGAGAUGUUGCCAAGUCCCGCAACGAGCGCAACCCUUGUCAUUAGUUGCUACGAAAGGGCACUCUCUAAUGAGACUGCCGGUGACAAACCGGAGGAAGGUGGGGAUGACGUCAAGUCCUCAUGGCCCUUAUGGGUAGGGCUUCACACGUCAUACAAUGGUCGGGACAGAGGGUCGCCAACCCGCGAGGGGGAGCCAAUCCCAGAAACCCGAUCGUAGUCCGGAUCGCAGUCUGCAACUCGACUGCGUGAAGUCGGAAUCGCUAGUAAUCGCGGAUCAGCAUGUCGCGGUGAAUACGUUCGGGUCUUGUACACACCGCCCGUCACACCAUGAGAGUGGGUUUUACCAGAAGUAGUUAGCCUAAACCGUAAGGAGGGCGAUUACCACGGUAGGAUUCAUGACUGGGGUGAAGUCGUAACAAGGUAA